rnacentral:rRNA from 1 species
GACGAACGCUGGCGGCGUGCCUAAUACAUGCAAGUUGAGCGCUGAAGGUUGGUACUUGUACCAACUGGAUGAGCAGCGAACGGGUGAGUAACGCGUGGGGAAUCUGCCUUUGAGCGGGGGACAACAUUUGGAAACGAAUGCUAAUACCGCAUAAAAACUUUAAACACAAGUUUUAAGUUUGAAAGAUGCAAUUGCAUCACUCAAAGAUGAUCCCGCGUUGUAUUAGCUAGUUGGUGAGGUAAAGGCUCACCAAGGCGAUGAUACAUAGCCGACCUGAGAGGGUGAUCGGCCACAUUGGGACUGAGACACGGCCCAAACGCCUACGGGAGGCAGCAGGAGGGAAUCUUCGGCAAUGGACGAAAGUCUGACCGAGCAACGCCGCGGGAGUGAAGAAGGUUUUCGGAUCGUAAAACUCUGUUGGUAGAGAAGAACGUUGGUGAGAGUGGAAAGCUCAUCAAGUGACGGUAACUACCCAGAAAGGGACGGCUAACUACGUG